rnacentral:lncRNA from 1 species
UACUGAUUCCUUAUAUAAGUGAUAUGGGCAGGCUUUGCCGCUCCGCUCCUAGAAAUGAGGUCACUUUUAUCCAUAUCCUACGUGGCAGUGGUUAAUUAACAAACAGAAGUUCUGUCUUUUCAAAAGACAGCUUCACUCCAGACAGCUCCGAAGCUCCCUGACAGUUGUCAUGAGUCUUGGGUGUACCACACAGCCCCCAACUUGAGGACUGAAACACUCAUUCCCCAAAUACUGGGAGUACUGACAGCUAACAUCUCUCAGCCCUUGUCUGAGGAGAGCCAUUUUGCCCAAGUUCGUGUCCCCUUUCCAGGGGCAGCGGAUCCAAUGACUCAUCAGCACAGGAGAAUAAAGGCCUGACCUACUUGCACCAGCUGUGCCACCUCUGCAGACACCGCAGCUCCACAGCACCCUGCUGGCUUGGUUCUCUCAGACCUCUGUUGUGACUGUACUGUGGUCAAGAUCUCCCUCUGCCCAAGUCAGCUUCCUCCACUCCCGACAGCUGCCGAGCCUGGGAGAAUUCCUCAGUAACCUUCUGCAUGCUGAUCUCCCUUUCAGAGUCUGCGUCCUGGGUAACCUGACCUGGAACAACUAUAACCAGACAGGUUAAAGCACUCCCAAAUGGUGCCCACAUUUUGGGGGAACGUUUUGCAAUCUGAAUAAAAGCUAGGAAGUG